CAAGUACGGGGCGCCAGUGCAGUAAAAUGCGCUGGGCCCCACACACACACAAGCACCACAGUCUGACUAUACACUACGCAGAAUCACGGCCUCAGGGCCACACCAAUCAAAA
rnacentral:misc_RNA from 1 species